GUGGAUUAGAUACCCUGGUAGUCCACACCGUAAACGUUGGGCGCUAGGUGUGGGAUCCAUUCCACGGGUUCCGUGCCGCAGCUAACGCAUUAAGCGCCCCGCCUGGGGAGUACGGCCGCAAGGCUAAAACUCAAAGGAAUUGACGGGGGCCCGCACAAGCGGCGGAGCAUGCGGAUUAAUUCGAUGCAACGCGAAGAACCUUACCUGGGUUUGACAUACACCGGAAAGCGCCAGAGAUGGUGCCCCUUUUAGUCGGUGUACAGGUGGUGCACGGCCGUCGACAACU
rnacentral:rRNA from 1 species